rnacentral:lncRNA from 1 species
AUUCAGCUCUAAAGCUGUGUGCGCGCGCGUGUGUGUGGAUGAAGGCUGGGAUGGUUGUGAUAGAGAAAAGGAAGCAUCACCGCGCGCUCUGCCUCCGUUGCCUCAGCGCGAGCCGCAUCGAUUCGCUCCUUCAGCAGCCGAUGCUUAUCCCUCACUGUGUCAACAUCCAGAAAGCAGUUCGUUUCCCUAAAUAACCUCAGCAGGGCAUGAACGUAGGAUUCUUAUCCAGCUGAAUUACGGAUUUAAAGCGGGGAGAGGAGAGCGUUUGUUCCCUGGACAUCAUUUGAAGUCAUGCCCGUUCCAGAACAGCCUGCUGAAGUAGAGAACGCCACCAUGCUCAGUCCAGGACUGAAUGCUUCUAAUGGCGACGGAUCUGAGACUGAAACCACCUCUGCCAUUCUGGCCUCUGUGAAAGAGCAGCUCAGCAGUAAAAGGCCACCUGUGUUUUACCCGAUGAUGGAUUUAGUUCAGGCAGCCAUUCCCAUCCCACCUGGAACAGCCUGGAAGACUGUGCAGGUGGCACUCCGGGCCAAUCCAUCACAAAAAUUAGCCAUUACUUUUAUUCAUACACAACGGGUUCUCCCGUCGUACAGACGGCUGGCUCAUCACAGCCUCAAAAUGUUGAUGGCUUCAUGUGCUGCUUUAAUAAAAGCUACAUUAAAAUCAGAGAUGCUGAUGCAGGGUUUCACCGAGCAGAACUGAGCAUCUGUACAACACAGUGCUGUUUUUUUUAUGGUAGAUUUGAUUAAUAAACCUGUGUAUGUUGUGGAAGAUUUUUAUUAGUAAAGUUUCAAUUAAUCAAGUAUAUAAUCAAUGUGAAUCUAGCCAUUUUUGUUGCUAGUUGUUUUUCCAUUACAAUCCUAUAGGAAAUGGAUAGAAAGGAAUAUGCUUACAUGCAGGAAUGUACAGG